rnacentral:rRNA from 1 species
AUUGAACGCUGGCGGCAGGCCUAACACAUGCAAGUCGAGCGGAUGAAGGGAGCUUGCUCCUGGAUUCAGCGGCGGACGGGUGAGUAAUGCCUAGGAAUCUGCCUGGAAGUGGGGGAUAACGUCCGGAAACGGGCGCUAAUACCGCAUACGUCCUGAGGGAGAAAUUGGGGGAUCUUCGGACCUCACGCUAUCAUAUGAACCUAGAUCGGAUUAGCUAGUUGGUGGGGUAAAGGCCUACCAAGGCGACGGACCGUAACUGGUCUGAGAGAAUGAUCAGUCAGACUGGAACAGAGAAACGUUCCAGACUCUUAGGCGGAGCAACAGUGGAGAAUAUUUGAGAAUGGACGAAUGCGUGAUCCAGCAAAACUGAGUGUGGGAUGAAGGUCUUAGGAUUGUAAAGCACUGUAAGUUGGGAGGAAGGGAAGUAAGUUAAUACCUUACUAUUUUGACGUUACCAACAGAAUAAGCGCCGGCUAACUUCGUG